GUUGACUUUAGUGGGUUUUUUUAACCUCAGAAAGACACAUAUUUGCUGUGGACAAAUAUUCAUCAGUGAGUCAUGGACCUACAGCGCACAGCUGAACAGAGUUACAGAGUUGGAAUCACAUGACCUAAUGAUGACUGUAUGAAGUCCCCCGAUAACUAUGAAUGCACCCUUACUAUGUAAUUGAACAGUUUCUCUCCCUGUGUGUGAGAGAGAGUGAGUGUACACGUGUGUGUGUGUGUGUGUACUGUACACCGUGUUUUAUUUGAUACAGCAUUCAGUCCAAGGCCAUGAUUAGUAGAAGUGUAGAAUGAGUAGAUAUUGUACCCAAUAUGGGUACCAGGUGACCUCACCAGGAAAAACUCAGGGCCCAAAUUAGAAUUCUAGCCCAGAGUGUUUCUUGGUCAGGUCACAUGACCAGUAAGGGUGCAGAGUCCUACUACAGAGAUGAAUGCUGACAUUUUGUUAUAUUGACGGUAUUAGCAUGGCAUCGACCAAGGCUAAUCACUAACCAAACUGCUGCUAGACUGUAUAGACUCCAAUGUGUGCUGUAAUUGUCAAGUCAACAUUGUCAUGUCGUGGUUGAGAAUCAUUUAAUUAAUUUUUCGUCCAAGCUGAAUAGAACUGUUUGAUAGUUUAGAUAGCAAAGACAAUGCAUUUUUCAAUCCUAUUGUCCAGUCCUAUUUGAAACCAUCCCUUGUCACGUUUCACCUCAUUCAUAAAUUGUUGCUAUUGCUGUUAUGUUGCAGUUACAGAAUAAUGUCCAAGAAAGACCAGUCUUUGCUUCAGCAGGUAUUGAAUACUGUAGUGGUCUUCUUUGCUGUAAAUUAAGCAGCGCUAAUCUGUUUCUCCAUCAAGCAUCAUUUCUUCAAAGCCCAAAGAACAAAUCCACAGUCUGAUCAGUUACAAUUCAAAAUGGCAGUCGUCAGAAACACUGCAGGUCACGCUACAAACACAGAUAAAUCUCUACCGCAUCGUGGAUUCAUUAUUUGAAAUAGUUACCCUUAGUUUGGCAGCUGUUUGACCUGCAUCUGACCCACAUUUUAUAGCUGGUCUUCAGGCUUGCCGAGUCAUGUUGUGUUUGAGAUGCUGAGCUCAUCACAGGCUACCCAGGCCCAGGGCAGGACAAUCACCCACAUACCCCUACUAUUUCUGAAAGGUCAAGUCUACUCAUCCCAGGCCACCCAUGCAGGCCCAGGGCAGGACAAAUUACCAACCUAUCCCACACUGCCUGACAGGUCAGCUUUGGCACACUGGCACAUGGAGCAUUACCACUGGGCACACACUAGUUCAAUCAACAUUGUUUCCACGUCAUUUCAACGUGGAAUAGACGUUGAAUUGACCUCCGUUCCCAGUGUGCCCGCGCUUUGGGAGGUCAGAGGUCAUGCUGAGGCCUCCAGUCUGAGCGAUGUGAAUUUGAGAAGGGCUAGAAAACAUUGUACCCCUACAGGGGUGCAGCAGUGUUCAUUCUACUCCCCAUCAUCAUCACUCCCUAAAUCUCACAGGUAUAACCUGUGGUAGGAUCUAUGCCUAUAUGGUAGUGUGUACUAUACUGUAGAUCUAGCUAGAACAGUCAGUACAAAGCCUUCUCCUCUUACAUAAAGGUUCACCUGACCCAAAGUGCCAUUGUCUCCAGGUGCCGUUGACGCCAUUCCAUUUGUUCCAUUCCAACCAUGAUUAUGAGCCGUUCUCCCCUCAGCAGCCUCCUAUGAUAUAAACUAUUGUAUUGGAUUGUCUUUACAUUUUGAAUAGCAUCACAUUUGAUUUGCAAUUGACAGAGCAGUGGUUCCCAAUACUGUUACGUGUGAAGGAGAGCUCAGGCUCCACAAUCUGGCUUCAACCUCCAUUAUGAGUGGCCGCUGUAUCUUUGCUUCGUGAAAAACUUUUUCAGAGCUUUUUUGACUAAUAAAAAAUCUGACCAUGGCCUUUUUUUUUCUUUGACAUUUCUCAUGCUUAUUAGACUUCAUUUGAGAUUACAAUAUUACAUGCUGUUGUUCGUUUACAACCUGCAGUGGGUAAUAUGUUAGGAUAGCAGCACCCUGGCUUGGCUACAUUGUCUGUAGACCUUACAGAAUGGGGACUAUGACUACACAUCCUACAAGUGCUGACGUUAAUUGAUAUGUUAUUAGCUAUACAAAGUUUCAGGCUGUUGUAGAACUGUUGCAAAUAGCUAGCCAACAUGGUUAUUGUGAUAUAAAGGGCAACUCUAUAGCCUCCAUUCACCAUGUGUCCAUUACUAUUAUUAUUCUCAGUAGAUAGAAGUUGCUGGCUGCUAUGGAUGAUGAUGGUUGAUUAUCUUACGGUGACCACACUAGGACAUGCCCCUGUCCACACUAGGACAUGCCCCUGUCCACACUAGGACAUGCCCCUGUCCACACUAGGACAUGCCCCUGUCCACACUAGGACAUGCCCUUGUCCACACUAGGACAUGUUCCUGUCCACACUAGGACAUGCUCCUGUCCACACUAGGACAUGCUCCUGUCCACACUAGGACAUGCUCCUGUCCAUACUAGCACAUGCUAGUGUCCACACUAGGACAUGUUCCUGUCCACACUAGGACAUGCUCCUGUCCACACUAGGACAUGCUCCUGUCCACACAAGGACAUGUUCCUGUCCACACUAGGACAUGCUCCUGUCCAUACUAGGACAGCUUCCUAAUAGGACAAUGUAUCACCUACCCUCAAGCAUCACCACCAAGGGAGACAAGAUCUGACCCUGUAUCAGUGGUUAGGGACAACUUCUACCCACUCCACUCUUCUCAACUAGAGUCUGUUGCUGAAUGGUUUAAUUUGUUUGCCUCUGUACAAGGAAUUAGUAUUGCUCAGGGGCAUUCUCUCUCUCCGAUUCCAUUCUGCCAUUAUGUCAUGUUUUUGUACAAAAUCUAUAUUUAGCAUUGUUAAUAUUAUUGCUGUUCCUUAGAAAUAUUGCUCCUUUGUUUGCUCAUAAAAGUAUUGCAGUUGCAUGUGUGCGUGUGCUUCUUCAUGAAAAGCUCGAGAGUUGAUCUCCUUACCACAUUGUCCCUCAUAAUGAUGUACACAGUAAGCCUAAAUCCUGAC
ensembl:lncRNA